GACGAAGGAUGCAAGCGUUAUCCGGAUUCAUUGGGUUUAAAGGGAGCGUAGGCGGCCUUAUAAGUCAGUGGUGAAAUCUCUGGGCUUAACCCAGAAAUUGCCAUUGAUACUGUAGGGCUUGAGUACAGUUGCCGUUGGCGGAAUAUGACAUGUAGUGGUGAAAUACAUAGAGAUGUCAUAGAACACCGAUUGCGAAAGGCAGCUAACGAAACUGUAACUGACGCUGAGGCUCGAAAGUGCGGGGAUCAAACAGG
rnacentral:rRNA from 1 species